GUAGGGUGCAAGCGUUAAUCGGAAUUACUGGGCGUAAAGCGUGCGCAGGCGGUUUUGUAAGUCUGUCGUGAAAGCCCCGGGCUUAACCUGGGAAUUGCGAUGGAGACUGCAAGGCUUGAAUCUGGCAGAGGGGGGUAGAAUUCCACGUGUAGCAGUGAAAUGCGUAGAGAUGUGGAGGAACACCGAUGGCGAAGGCAGCCCCCUGGGUCAAGAUUGACGCUCAUGCACGAAAGCGUGGGGGGGAGCAAACAGGAUUAGAUACCCUGGUAGUCCACGCCCUAAACGAUGUCUACUAGUUGUCGGGUCUUAAUUGACUUGGUAACGCAGCUAACGCGUGAAGUAGACCGCCUGGGAUACGGUCGCAAGAUUA
rnacentral:rRNA from 1 species